GCCUCGGUCGUCUAGCGGUUAGGACACAAGUUUCAUAAGCUUGAUAUCGUCAGUUCAAAUCUGAUCCGAGGCA
rnacentral:tRNA from 2 species